AUCCUUUCGUAGUUCAUAAGCAUGAUGACUGGGUUUUCACUUUCAUGUGUGAGAUUGCCUCCCUCAAACCCUGUUACAACCUCGGCACAUGACCCAUCUGAUG